CCUCUGGGACCAGCUUACCAUGCAGUCGACGGUAACGCGGGGGCAACCCUGGCGACGAGUGGCGGACGGGUGAGUAAUGCUUGGGAAUCUACCCAGUAGCGGGGGAUAACCUAGGGAAACUUAGGCUAAUACCGCAUACGACCUACGGGUGAAAGCAGGAGAUCGCAAGACCUUGCACUACUGGAUGAGCCCAAGUCGGAUUAGCUAGUUGGUGGGGUAACGGCCCACCAAGGCGACGAUCCGUAGCUGGUCUGAGAGGACGAUCAGCCACACUGGGACUGAGACACGGCCCAGACUCCUACGGGAGGCAGCAGUGGGGAAUAUUGGACAAUGGGGGCAACCCUGAUCCAGCAAUGCCGCGUGUGUGAAGAAGGCCUGCGGGUUGUAAAGCACUUUCAGUAGGGAAGAAAAGCUCGGAGCUAAUACCUCCGGGUCUUGACGUUACCUAAAGAAGAAGCACCGGCUAACUCCGUGCCAGCAGCCGCGGUAAUACGGAGGGUGCGAGCGUUAAUCGGAAUUACUGGGCGUAAAGCGCACGUAGGCGGUCGGAUAAGUCGGAUGUGAAAGCCCUGGGCUUAACCUGGGAACUGCAUUCGAUACUGUCCGGCUAGAGUAUGGGAGAGGGAAGCGGAAUUUCCGGUGUAGCGGUGAAAUGCGUAGAUAUCGGAAGGAACAUCAAUGGCGAAGGCAGCUUCCUGGCCCAAUACUGACGCUCAGGUGCGAAAGCGUGGGGAUCAAACAGGAUUAGAUACCCUGGUAGUCCACGCUGUAAACGAUGAGAACUAGAUGUUGGGAGGGUUUUGCCUCUCAGUGUCGCAGCUAACGCGUUAAGUUCUCCGCCUGGGGAGUACGGCCGCAAGGUUGAAACUCAAAGGAAUUGACGG
rnacentral:rRNA from 1 species